rnacentral:rRNA from 1 species
ACACACCGCCCGUCACUCUCCCCAAGUCUAAACAAACCCAUAUAUAUAAUAAACCCUUAUAGCAAAGGGGAGGCAAGUCGUAACAUGGUAAGUGUACCGGAAGGUGUACUUGGACAAAUCAAAAUGUAGCUAAGACAGAAAAGCAUCUCCCUUAC